GGAGGCGUGGGCCUCUCAAUGGUUAGAGCCGGCCGCUCAUAACGGUCUGGUUGGGGGUUCAAGUCCCUCCGCCCGCACCA
rnacentral:tRNA from 2 species